rnacentral:rRNA from 1 species
GUGGGGAAUAUUGGGCAAUGGGCGAAAGCCUGACCCAGCAACGCCGCGUGAAGGAAGAAGGUCUUCGGAUCGUAAACUUCUAUCCUUGGUGAAGAUAAUGACGGUAGCCGAGAAGGAAGCCCCGGCUAACUACGUGCCAGCAGCCGCGGUAAUACGUAGGGGGCAAGCGUUGUCCGGAAUGAUUGGGCGUAAAGGGCGCGUAGGCGGCCUGGUAAGUCUGGAGUGAAAGUCCUGCUUUUAAGGUGGGAAUUGCUUUGGAUACUGUCGGGCUUGAGUGCAGGAGAGGUAAGUGGAAUUCCCGGUGUAGCGGUGAAAUGCGUAGAGAUCGGGAGGAACACCAGUGGCGAAGGCGACUUACUGGACUGUAACUGACGCUGAGGCGCGAAAGUGUGGGGAGCAAACAGGAUUAGAAACCCUAGUAGUCC